GACGAACGCUGGCGGCGUGCUUAACACAUGCAAGUCGAACGAACAGGUCAUGCUUUUGUGGGGUGCUCGAGUGGCGAACGGGUGAGUAACACGUGAGUAACCUGCACCUGUCUUUGGGAUAAAUUCAGGAGACUGGGGCGCUUACCGGGUAGGAGCUCUAGCUGCAUGGUGGGGGAUGGAAAGAUUUGGUGGUUCGGGAUGGAAUCGCGGCUUAUCCGCUUGUUGGGGGGGUAGUGGCAUACCAAGCCUGUGAAGGGUAGCCGGCCUGAGAGGGCGACCGGCCACAAUAGUACUGAGAUACGGCCCAGACUCCUACCGGAGGCAGCGGUGGAGAAUAUUGCACAAUGGGCGGAAGCCUGAUACAGCAACGCCGCGUGCGGGAUGACGGCCUUCGGGUUGUGAACCGCUUUCGCCUGUGACGAGGAGUGAGUGACGGUAAUGGAUAAAGAAGCACCGGCUAACUACGUG
rnacentral:rRNA from 1 species